rnacentral:lncRNA from 1 species
CAAGAAACGGAACACAGCUAUGUGUUUGUAACGACAAAACAAAACUGGGAAUCUGCGAAGUCUCAGGGGAUUGGUACUUUUUGAUUGGAGCACGCUAUUACGAAGGCGCAUUUCGCUGGACUGACGGUACAAACGUGUCAUACAAUGGCUGGGGUCGAGACAAACCAGGAAACAGAACAGGAUGCGUUGAUUUUCUACGUUCCAUAAACUGGCUUUGGAAUUCAUAUGAAAACUGCAGUGGUAUAACAGCAAAAUCCAUUUGUGAAAAAGGGCUCUAAACGAAGACGUCACCGACACAUGGCAGGAUAAAGACAUUGUUUUGAUGAUGUGGAAACAAUAUACUCUGACAUUUAUAAUGCGUACUUUCUACUGAUUAUUCGAAAUAAGUACGCUACCGCUUUUUAUCAUUAAGACAAGGAGUGGUCCAAUUUAAGAGUAAAACAAAAUGUUCUAACCUGCUAAGUGCUUAAUAUGACUUGCUUAAUAUGACAAUAUCAAAAAGAAAACUUCAUACAUAGAAAGCUACCCUAUUUAUAUACAUAUUGUGUGAACUUAAUAUUCCGAUGUAUAUACUUUCUAGAUGAUUACCAUGUAUACCUUGACUUUCAUAUGAAUAUAUAUAAUAUUGGAAGAUACUCCUUUUUCUCUAGUUAAAUCAGUUACUGAUAUUGAAACUUUUUCUUUGUAAAUAUGUAUCUGUAUAAAUUAAUUCUUACACUGCAUAAUUAAGACUGCAAUUUUGUACUACCUAUUAAUAUUUCGCCUCUUUAAAGAAGUAGGUACCAUUUGACAUUUUUAUGUUUUUGAGAAAAUCGCUUUUAAAGAAUCAUGACUCAAUAUAAAAUCAGCAGUUUUAUAACAUUGAAACAACAACAUAACAUUGA